UUAGAGCAUUAUGCAUACCAUGUUUGCCAAAUCAUUUAUUUAGUUAUUUUAUGGCCAUCUGAAAUUGUGGGCUCCCUUAGCUAUAUACAGCAAGAAGGUAAUAAAGGAGAUCUUUGAGGAAUUAAGCCAUGUUUUCCCCUGUAGGAUGUGAGUGACUGGAUUGAUCCAUAGUCAAAGCUGAAGGAGUUGUAUGAUGCCAUCAUCAAUCAGCUGGAGUCAGAGGCAGAAACAGUGGUCAAGAGGACCUGGAUGGAACACAUCACUGAGGAUCUUCCUGGAAGGUGGUGUCUGAGGACCAGUAUUUGAACAUCAACAGACUAUCAUGAAAAACGCAAAGGAGCAUAUAAAGAGGACUCUGUUGUAAGUCUCCUACGGGCCAUAAGAAACAAGAGUAACCAUUACGAUGAAAUUCCUGAUCUCCAUCAGAUGUUCCCAAAAGGCUUUAUGUCCUACUUCACCUCCUGCUUCCCCCACCUGCUGCUGAACACAUACCUGGCCAUGUGCACCUGUGCUGAGGAGCUGACUUUCCAGAAAUACUACUCCAAGUUGAGAGAGGCGUGGAUGGUCUAUGACACACCCACAGCCUAAGACCAAAAAGUACAUUACACCAACCUUUGAAGUGAUGACAACCAAGCCACCAGCCCAAAUAUUCUGUCUUUUUCUAGGCUUUGCUUUUAUUGUUGAUUUCAUAACAUGAACCUGCAGUGCACUGAAUCCAGAGACAUUCCUUCUAUG
ensembl:lncRNA